rnacentral:rRNA from 1 species
UUGCUUUUAAAUCUUAGCGGCGGACGGGUGAGUAACACGUGGGCAACCUGCCUAUGAGACUGGGAUAACUCCGGGAAACCGGGGCUAAUACCGGAUAAUUCUUUUCUACUCAUGUAGAAAAGCUGAAAGAUGGUUUCGGCUAUCACUCAUAGAUGGGCCCGCGGCGCAUUAGCUAGUUGGUGAGGUAAUGGCUCACCAAGGCGACGAUGCGUAGCCGACCUGAGAGGGUGAUCGGCCACACUGGGACUGAGACACGGCCCAGACUCCUACGGGAGGCAGCAGUAGGGAAUCUUCCGCAAUGGACGAAAGUCUGACGGAGCAACGCCGCGUGAGUGAUGAAGGUUUUCGGAUCGUAAAACUCUGUUGUUAGGGAAGAACAAGUACCGGAGUAACUGCCGGUACCUUGACGGUACCUAACCAGAAAGCCACGGCUAACUACGUGCCAGCAGCCGCGGUAAUACGUAGGUGGCAAGCGUUGUCCGGAAUUAUUGGGCGUAAAGCGCGCGCAGGUGGUCUCUUAAGUCUGAUGUGAAAGCCCCCGGCUCAACCGGGGAGGGUCAUUGGAAACUGGGAGACUUGAGUGCAGGAGAGAAGAGUGGAAUUCCACGUGUAGCGGUGAAAU